rnacentral:rRNA from 1 species
CCUACGGGAGGCAGCAGUGGGGAAUAUUGGGCACUGGGCGAAAGCCUGACCCAGCAACGCCGCGUGAAGGAAGAAGGCUUUCGGGUUGUAAACUUCUUUUGACAGGGAAGAGUAGAAGACGGUACCUGACGAAUAAGCCACGGCUAACUACGUGCCAGCAGCCGCGGUAAUACGUAGGUGGCAAGCGUUGUCCGGAUUUACUGGGUGUAAAGGGCGUGUAGCCGGGUUGACAAGUCAGAUGUGAAAUCCUGCGGCUUAACCGCAGAACUGCAUUUGAAACUGUUGAUCUUGAGUACUGGAGAGGCAGAUGGAAUUCCUAGUGUAGCGGUGAAAUGCGUAGAUAUUAGGAGGAACACCAGUGGCGAAGGCGGUCUGCUGGACAGCAACUGACGGUGAGGCGCGAAAGCGUGGGGAGCAAACAGGAUUAGAUACCCGUGUAGUC